UAAGCGCCAAGCCCACCCUAAGAUUAAAAUUCGUUAAAGACCCCUCGUAGACUACGAGGUUGAUAGGCCACAAGUGUAAGGGUCGUAAGGCUUUUAGCUUAGUGGUACUAAUCGGUCGAUGUAGAUUUAA
rnacentral:rRNA from 1 species